AGCAGGUCGGCGAUGACAAUGAGCCCCCGACUUAUCUGGAAGCCACUGCAGGCUAUGGAGAAAUGGAGGCCCAGUUCGCCUUUGACGACAAAACCAUCAGACGGACCUUCAUCAGGAAGGUCUACGCCAUCCUCAUGGUUCAGCUGCUCGUGACAGUGGGCAUAGUUAGUCUCUUCUCAUUCUGUGAACCUGUCAGGUUUUUUAUUCAGACUCAUCCAGGCUUGUACAUGGCAUCAUACCUCACGUUCUUUGUCACCUACAUUGCACUCAGCUGUUGUGGAGA